rnacentral:rRNA from 1 species
AGCUGAUCAUUGGGUGUAAAAUGUGCGCAGGCGGUUUUGUAAGACAGAGGUGAAAUCCCCGGGCUCAACCUGGGAACUGCCUUUGUGACUGCAAGGCUGGAGUGCGGCAGAGGGGGAUGGAAUUCCGCGUGUAGCAGUGAAAUGCGUAGAUAUGCGGAGGAACACCGAUGGCGAAGGCAAUCCCCUGGGCCUGCACUGACGCUCAUGCACGAAAGCGUGGGGAGCAAACA